rnacentral:ribozyme from 13 species
CAAACAGACAUUUUAAAAAGAAAAAGCAAAGAAUUCAGAAGAUAGCGUAUUCUUUCUUGGAUAUUUCUCCCCUCAAUCCUUCUUUGCUAUCUUCUUCUUUUUUCCGUUCUCUUCUUCUUCUUUUUU